AUUGAACGCUGGCGGCAGGCCUAACACAUGCAAGUCGAGCGGAUGAAGAGAGCUUGCUCUCUGAUUUAGCGGCGGACGGGUGAGUAAUGCCUAGGAAUCUGCCUGGUAGUGGGGGAUAACGUUCCGAAAGGAACGCUAAUACCGCAUACGUCCUACGGGAGAAAGCAGGGGACCUUCGGGCCUUGCGCUAUCAGCUGAGCCUAGGUCGGAUUAGCUAGUUGGUGAGGUAAUGGCUCCCCAAGGCUACGAUCCGUAACUGGUCUGAGAGGAUGAUCAGUCACACUGGAACUGAGACACGGUCCAGACUCCUACGGGAGGCAGCAGUGGGGAAUAUUGGACAAUGGGCGAAAGCCUGAUCCAGCCAUGCCGCGUGUGUGAAGAAGGUCUUCGGAUUGUAAAGCACUUUAAGUUGGGAGGAAGGGCAGUAAGUUAAUACCUUGCUGUUUUGACGUUACCGACAGAAUAAGCACCGGCUAACUUCGUGCCAGCCGCCGCGGUAAGAC
rnacentral:rRNA from 1 species